AAUUUAAAAUUAUUAAGUUCUGUCAGUUUAAGACUAGCCAUAUGCAGUAAAAUAUUUCAACUAUAUAGUUUUUACAUAUCAACAGAGAGUGUAGAAGAGAGAUUUAUAAAUAAGAAAACUACUGUUCAAAAAUGUGUAUCCUUUACUAUAGCUGCUAUAAAUCGUGUUAUUUAAAAGAAUUUUUUCCUACAAAGGUUUUACUUUAAAGAACUGAUAGAAUUUUAGUGAGAGAAUCUCCUCUGUUCCAUCUUUCCUGAAAACAGUGUUAUUCUGUAUAUCUUGUCUGUUGCUACUAAUAUAGUUCUUCUUUUCCAUCCACCCUACCCACCCCCUUCCCCCCCUAAAAAAAAGAAUAAUUUGGGAAUAGUGGGCAGGAAAAAUAUCUUAUGCAGAAGGGAACUGAUUCCAUGAUUUCUUCAAGUCUUUUCUACCACUAAGGUAUCUGGUCUUAGCUUCAACAGCUGCUGUUUAGGAGCAGGCCUCUGUCCUUACAUUCUGUCUGUCCUAUUAGUUAAAAAUAGACCAGUUUAUGCACAAGGGCUAGAAUAUUAGAAGGCAGCAUUUUGAAGGCUCAUGUGAAUGCUAUAGUUUGUGCAUAACCAACUGCUUUUGUUCCUGACUGCAACAGUCUCUGUCUUUUAAGUUGAGCCUCUGAGGUCAGGAGGCUGAGGACUGGCAUAAAGACAUCUGUGAGAUGUGCUGCCUCUAAUCUUCUGUACUGCCUCACUCUGCUUAUAGAAUGCAUAUGCAGUUUGGAGAAAGAUGCACAUAGACCUACUGGGUCUUACUUCCAUGAUUUCAAGCACUUUCAUGUGUGUGGAAUACUGUUCUGCAUUAAGAAGGAAAGAUAUGGGGAGUUUAGAGGGUCUGGAGUCUCCAGAAAUUAAUGGUAUUGCAAAGACUGGUUGGCAAUCCCUUAGACGCGGUUAUGAUACAGAGUAUGUAAUUACAUAUUCCAUAGCCACGAUGCCGGUUUUCCCAGGCUUUCUUGCCUCAGGUGGAAUCUUGUGGAAGCUACAGUGAGUGAAUGAAUGCCAAUAUUUUAUUAGAUAUAUUGAGAAAUGAAGGUGGUGGGAGGGCAAGGCAGCUCUCUACACACCUGUACUGUAAGGUCUGGAAUGAGCCUUCUCAGAGCUUCAAAUGCUGAUUGGAGAGAGCUUAUCAUACUCAUCCUUGGAGGUUCUUGAAAACUGUCACAGCCUGGAAGGCUUGGAGGUGGUAAGAGAUUUUUCUGUGAGAAAGGCUGAGUUUUGAAGUGAUUCUCUUUUGUGUUUUCCAGGGACUCACAGCGGCUUUUAGCACAAGUUCUUUGCAAUUCAUGUGGGAAUUCUGGGUUUCCUUGGCCCUGUUGUUCAGGCAGGAGAGCGCAAGGCAUAAAAUAUGUGGAAAUAACCUGGAUGUUGGCACCUUGUGGAGGAGGAAUU